UUUUUUCCUCUCUAUAAAAAAAUCUUUAUUUGAAGUGCUUUCUUCCUUAGUUUAAUCUCUUAUAAAUUAAGCGUUAGUUAUAUUAUAUCAAUGUUAAAACAAAAUUAAAAUGGUUUCAACAAAAGUUGUUUUUACAAUUUUUUUUAUAUCAAAGAUUUGCAAUUUUACUCAGUCUUACCCUGACAACUUAAAAGAGUUAAAAAGAUUUAAAAAAAAUUAUUACGGAUGGAUUGAUCCUGUUUAUGAAUAUAGUGGAUCAAUGGCUGAUGGCGAUUGGGGAUGGAAAAAACGAAGUACAGGAAACAGUUUCGAUAUUCUCUGGCAAAUCCUUGAAACAAAACACUUUUUGCUUCACAAUCUUGUGAUAACCCUAAAGCACAAUAGACACUAGACACUGCCCCAACAUUAUCACAAUCAGCCGGACCUAAUUUUGUUACAAUCACCAUUUGAAUCAUCAAAGGGAUACGGCACAUUAUAAAAGCUAUUUUCCAUCAAUAUUUUAUCAACCAAGAACUUCGGCAUCUAGUCAAAAUCAUUACUAUGAGCCUUCUAUUGUAAAACAAAAUCGCAAUUAUGGUUUCCAUUCAAUGGCAGAUGCAGAUUGGGGAUGGAGGAAAAAAAGAGCAAAUAAAUUAGAUUCCAAAAAAGAAAAAUAUUUCCCUUCAAAAACUUUACCAAUGCUAGUUAUAUUAAUGGAUUAUAAUGGUCGUUUGGACCCAGAACAGAUGGAUAUUAAAGGAAAAAGAUUUUCAUACAUCGAUGAUGUCUCAAAAUCCUUACAGAACAAUAAAAUAAUAAAUCAAAAUGUACAUUAUAUUGACAAAGGCACAAAAUGAAAUGCAUUUCCAUUUAGCUCAAUCUCACUUUCAAUGGACGUAAUAUUUAAUAAUUCAUUUAUACUGCUAUUUUAUAUAGAGAGAAUGUGAUCUGAUUGAUUUUGGCUUUUUUGGCGGAGGGCUCAUAUCAAAUACUAUUAUUAAUUUGAAUCAAUGUAUUACUUUUUUAUGUGAUUUUUACACUUCAUGGCUUUCAAUAAUAUACAAAUCUUAAUCUUUCAAUAAAUGAGUUAACUGAGUAAA
rnacentral:misc_RNA from 1 species